AUUACAUAGCAGAAAUUAGCACUGAGCAUUUCAGAUGCUUCAAAACGAGUUUGCAGUUAUGUAUUUUGGCAGAUCAAGGGGAGAUGUUUUCUUUCAAAUGGAUUAACUCAAAGAAGUAAUUUGUUUUUUACAAUAAGGGUGUUGAGGCAGUGGCACAGGUUGCCCAGAGUGGUGGUGGACGCCCCAUCCAUGCAGAAACCCGAGGUCAGGCUGGAUGGGGCUCUGAGCACCUGAUGGAGCUGUAGGUGUCCCUGUUCAUUGCAGGGGAGUUGGACCAGAUGGCCUUCAAGGGUCCCUUCCAACUCAAAAAAUCCUAUGAUUCUAUGAAGUGAGACGCAUCCUAUGCCUACAAGAGAGUCCAGAAUGUCAGUGCUGAUUAAAAUACACAAUCCAAUAUAUGCUAUUUUAGUAGGAAUAUAAUUACAUGAAGGAAAAUUCAUUUUAGUGUAUUUGAGGAAAUAUAUCCCACACUUUUGUCUCUCUGUUUCACUUUGGUUACUACACAGAGUUGCCAACACCCACAGAAAGGGCAUCAAGAAUUAGGUACUGAUUGUUCUGUGGUGGUCCAGUUAUUCACUCAAGGAAACCCAUACACUUCUUUCUCUAUGAACUUCAAAAAUUCUCGACAGCUCCCUUCAAGGGCGGUGUCCUGGUUUCAGCAAAAAAAAGCGUUAGGGGCACACCGAGCUUCGGUCGCUGCUGAGCGGCGAGGCCGCACCCUGCGUCAGGCUGGGCCGCUGGGCGGGGCGGAGCCGCCGCCAUGAUGGACAGCAGCGGGGCCGGGGCGGGGCCGGGACUGAGUCCGCAUUGGGCAGGGGCUGUUCCAUACCGCGUGACGUCAGGCGGACGCCAUAAGGCUGUGGGAACGGCAGUGCUUGAUCGGCAGUUGUGGAGGUUGUGGUGUCGCCGUAGCUGUAGCUUUGUUUAUUGUUGUGUAUUCGUUGGUGGACGGAACAGGGAGCGCCUGCGGAGGAUGGCGAGUGCCUGCAGAGCAAGGGAGCACCUGCGGAUGAUGGGAGUACCUGCAGAGAAGAAGGAGGGUUUGCGGAGGACACAGUGCCGUCGGAGAAUACAGGUAGUGCGCCGGCGGAGGUUAGAGGUAGUGCGCUGUCAGAAGAUAGAGGUGGAGCAUCUGUGGAGGAUGGGAGCACUGUCAGAAGACAGAGGUAGUGCGUCGGUAGAGGUUAGAGGUAGUGCACCAUUGGAGGAUAAAGGUGGAGGGUUUGCAGAGGACGGGAACACCUGAGGAGAUGGGGAGUGCCUGCAGAGGACAGGAACGUCGUCAGAGGAUAGUAGUUGUGCGCUGGCAAAGGUUAGAGGUAGUGUGCUAGCAGAGGAAAGAGGUGCAACAGCUGCGGGGGAUGGGAGAGCCAUCAGAAGAUAGAGGUAGUGCGCCAGCAGAGGUUAGAUGUAGUGCGACAUUGGAAGAUAGAGGUGGAGUGUCUGUGGAGAAUGAAAGCACCUGCAGAGAACAGGGAGCGCCAGCAGAGGAUGGGAGCACCGUCAGAAGAUAGAGGUAGCACGCCGGUGGAGGUUAGAUGUAGUGUGCCAUCAGAGAAUAGAGGUGGAGUACCUGCGGAGGACAGGGAGCACCUGUGGGGAACAGGGAGCGCUUGCAGAGGACAGGAGCACCGUCAGAAUAUAGAGGUAGUGCGCCAGCAGAGGUUAGAGGUAGUGCACCAUUGGAGGACAGAGGUGGAUGGUCUGUGGAGGACAGGAGCACCUGAAGAAAACAGGGAGCACCUACGGGGGACGGGAGCUCAGUCAGAAGACAAAGGUAGCACCAGCAGAGAUUAGAGGUAACACACCAGCAGAGGAUAAGAGGUAGCACGCCGGCAAAGGUUAGAGGUAGUGCACUGUCAGAUGAUAGAGGUGUAACGUAUGCGGAGAAAAAGAGGACCUGCGGAGAACAAGGAGUGCCUGCAGAUGAUGGGAGCACAAUCAGAAGAUAGAGGUAGCUUGCCGGCAGAGGUUAGAGGUAGUGCACUGUUGGAGGAUCAAAGUAGUGGGUCUGCAGAGAACAGGAGAACCUGCGGAGAACAGGGAGUGACUGCAGAGGACGGGAACACCGGCAGAAAACAGAAUUAGUGCACUGGCAGAGGUUAGAUGUAGUGCGCUGUUGGAGGAUAGAGGUGGAAUGUCUGCGGAGGAAAAGAGCACCUGCAGGGAACUGGAAGUAAUUGUAGAGGACAGGAGUGCCGUCAUAAGACAGAUUUAGUGCGCUGGCAGAGGUUAGAUGUAGUGUGCCAUCAGAAGAUAUAGGUGGAGCAUCUGCAGAGGACAGGAGCAUCUGCAGAGAACACAGAAGGCCUGCAGAUGAUGGGAGUGUUUUCAGAAGAUAGAGGUAGUGCGCUGGCAGAGGUUAGAUGUAGUGCCCCAUCAGAGGAUCGAGGUGGAGGGUCUGGGGAGGAUGAGAUCACCUGCAGAGAACAUGGAGAGCCUGUGCAGGACGGGAGCGCUGUUGGAAGACAGAGUUAGUGAGCUGGCAGAGUUUAGAUGCAGUGUGCCAUCACGGGAUAGAGGUGAAGAGUCUGUGGAGGACGGGAGCACCUGUGGAGAACAAAGAGUGUCUGCAGAUGACGGGAGCGCGAACAGAAGAUAGAGGUAGCACACUGGCAGUGGUUACAGGUAGUGCGCUGUCACAGGAUCGAAGUGCAAGAUGUGGGGAGGAUGGGAACAUCUGUGGAGAUCAAGGAGUGCCUGCAGAUGAUGGAAGCAUGAUCUGAAGAUAGAGGUAGCUUGCAGGCAGAGGUUAGAGGUAGUGUGCUGUUGGAGGAUUGAGGUGGAGGGUCUGCAGAGGACGGGAGCACCUGCGGCAAGCAGGGACUGACUGCGAAGAACGGGAGUGCUGUCAGAAGGAAUAGCUAGUGAACCGGCAGAGGUUAGAGGUAGUGUGCCUUCAGAGGACAUAGGUAGAGCACCUGUGGAGGAUGGGGGUACCUGCAGAGAACACAGAACACCUGGAGAUGAUGGGAGCACUGUCGGAAUGCGUAGUUAGUGCACCAGCAGAGGUUAGAUGUAGUGCAUCAUCAGAGGAUAUAGGUGGAGCAUCGGCAGAGGACGGGAACACCUACAGAGAUCAAGGAGUGCCUGCAGAUGACGGGAGUGUUGUCAGAAGAUAGAGGUAGUGCGCUGUCGGAGGAUCGAGGUGGAGCGUCUGGGGAGGACGGGAGCAUUUGUGGAGAACAGGGAGCAGCUGUGGAGGACAGGAGUGCUGUCAGAAGUCAGUUAGUGCGCCAGCAGAGGUUAGAUGUAGUGUGCCUUCAGAGGAUAUAGGUGGAGCAUCUGUGGAGGAUAGGAGCACCUGCGGAGAACAGGAAGCGAUUGCCAAGGACAGGAGCACCAUCAGAAGACAGAGUUAGUGCGCCAGCAGAGGUUAGAUGUAGUGCAUCAUCAGAGGAUCGAGUUGGAGCGUCUGCAGAGGACAAGAGCAUCUGCGGAGAACAGUGACCGCUUGCAGAUGAUGGGAGCGUGGUUAGAAGAUAGAGGUAGUGCGCCGGCAGAGGUUAGAGGUAUUGUGCCAUCAGAGGACCGAGGUGGAGGGUCUGCGGAGGAUCGGAGCACCUGCGGAGAACAGGGAGCACCUGUGGAGGACGGGAGCGCUGUUAGAAGGCAUAGUUAGUGCGCCGGCAGAGGUUAGAUGCAGUGUGCCUUCAGAGGAUAGAGGUGGAGCAUCUGCGGAGGAUAGGAGCACCUGCAGAGGACAUAGAACACCUGAAGAUGAUGGGAGGGCUGUCGGAAUGCAUAGUUAGUGCGCCAGCAGAGGUUAGAUGUAGUGCAUCAUCAGAGGAUUGAGGUGGAGCAUUGGCAGAGGACGGGAACACCUACAGAGAUCAAGGAGUGCCUGCAGAUGACGGGAGUGUUGUCAGAAGAUAGAGGUAGUGCGCCGGCAGAGUUUAGAGGUAGUGCAUCAUCAGAGGAUAUACGUGAAGCGUCUGCGGAGGACAAGAGCAUCUGCGGAGAACAGAGACCACUUGCAGAUGAUGGGAGCGUGGUUAGGAGAUAGAGGUAGUGCGCCAGCAGAGGUUAGAGGCAUUGUGCCAUCAGAGGAUCGAGGUGGAGGGUCUGCGAAGGAUGGGAGCACCUGCAGCGAACAGGGAGCACCUGCGGAGGACAGGAGCGCUGUCAGAAGACAUAGUGCGCCGGCAGAGGUUAGAUGUAGUGCAUCAUCAGAGGAUCGAGUUGGAGCGUCUGCGGAGGACAAGACCAUCUGUGGAGAACAGAGACUGCUUACAGAUGAUGGGAGCGUGGUUAGAAGAUAUAGGUAUUGUGCCAGCAGAGGUUAGAGGUAGUGUGCCAUCAGAGGAUCAAGGUGGAGUGUCUGCGGAGGAUCGGAGUACCUCAUGAGAACAGGGAGCACCUGCGGAGGACAGGAGUGCUGUCAGCAGGCAUAGUUAGUGCGCCGGCAGAGGUUAGAUGUAGUGUGCCUUCAGAGGAUAGAUGUAAAGCACCUGUGGUUGAUGGGGUUACCUGCAGAGAACACAGAACAUCUGUAGAUGAUGGCAGCACUGUCAGAAUGCAUAGUUAGUGCCCCGGCAGAAGAUAGAGGUAGUGCACUCUCAGAGGAUAGAGCUGGAACUUCUGCGGAGGAUGGGAGCACCUGCGGAGAACAGGAAGCGAUUGCCAAGGACAGGAGCACCAUCAGAAGACAGAGUUAGUGCGCCGGCAGAGGUUACAUGUAGUGCAUCAUCAGAGGAUCGAGUUGGAGCGUUUGCGGAGGACGAGAGCAUCUGCGGAGAACAGAGACUGCUUGCAGAUGAUGGGAGCGUGGUUAGAAGAUAGAGGUAGUGCGCCGGCAGAGGUUAGAGGUAGUGUGCCAUCAGAGGAUCGAGGUGGAGGGUCUGCGGAGGAUCGUAGCACCUGCGGAGAACAGGGAGCACCUCUGGAGGACGGGAGCACUGUCAGAAGGCAUAGUUAGUGCGCCGGCAGAGGUUAGAUGUAGUGCAUCAUCAGAGGAUAAAGGUGGAGCAUCUGCAGAGGACAGGAGCACCUGUGGAGAACAAGGAGCGCCUGCAGAUGAUGGGUGCGCUGUCAGAAGAAAGAGGUAGCAUGCUGGCAGAGGUUAGAGGUAGUGCUCUGUCACUGGAUCGACGUUGAGGGUCUGCGGAGGAUGGGAGCACCUGUGGUGAACAGGGAGUGACUGUGGAGGACAGGAGCGCCGUCAGAAGACAGAAUUAGUGCGCCGGCAGAGGUUAUAUGUAGUGUGCCAUCACGGGAUAGAGGUGGAGCAUCUGCCGAGGACAGGAGCACCUGCGGAAAACAGGGAGCACCUGCAGAUGACGGGAGCACCAUCUGAAGAUAGAGGUCGUGCGCUGUCGGAGGUUAGCAGUAGCAUCCUGGCAGAGGAUAAGAGUUAGCGCGCUAUCGGAGGUUAGAGGUAGUGCGCUGUUCGUGGAUAGAGGUAGAAUGUCGGUGGAUGAAAGGAGCACCUGUGGAGAACAGGGAGUGAUUGCGGAGGAUGGGAUCGCCGUCAGAAAACAGAGUUUGUUUGCUGGCAGAGGUUAGAUGUAGUGCGCCAUCCGAUGAUAGAGGUGGAGUUUCUACGGAGUACGGGAGCACCUGCAGAGAACAAGGUGUGCCUGCAAAUGACAGGAGCGCAAUCAGAAGAUAGAGGUAGAAGAGGUGCACAGGCGGAGGUUACCGGUAGUGUGCUGUCGGAGCAUCAAGGUGGAGGUUCUGUUUCGCCAUCCGAUGAUAGAGGUGGAGUUUCUACGGAGGAUGGGAGCACCUGCGUAGAACAGGGAGCGCCUGCGGACGAUGGGAGCGCCGUAAGAAAAUAGAAGUAAUUCGCUGGCUGAGUUUUGCAAUAGCAUGCCUUCAGAAGAUUGAGGUGGAUUGCCUGCAGAGGACGGUGAGCGCCUGUAGAGGACAGGAGCACCUGCGGAGAACAGGGAUUGCCUGCACAGUAUGGGAACAUCAUCAGAGUGUAGAGGUAGUGCACCGGCAGAGGAUUGAGGAAGUGCGCCAGCAGAGGAAAGAGGUGCGGCACCUGUGGGGGAUGGGAGCACCGUCAGAAGAUAGAGGUAGCACGCCAGCGGAGGUUAGAGGUAGCGUGCCAUUGGAGGAUGGAUGUAGUGCACCGGCCGAGGUUGGAUGUAGUGUUCUGUCAGAUGAUAGAGGUGGAGUGCCUGUGGAGGACAGCGAGUGCCUGCAGAGGACGAGAGCACCUGAGGAAAACAGGAAGCACCUGCGGAGGACUGGAGCGCCGUUAGAAGAUAGAGGUAUCUCGCUGGCUGAGUUUAGCGGUAACACACCAGCAACGGAUAGACGUAGUGUGCCGCCAGUGGAUAGAGGUAGAGCGCCAGCAGAAGAUAGGAGGUAGGACACUGGUGGAGGUUACAGAUAGUGCGCCGUCGGAGGAUAGAUGUGGAGCAUUUGCGGAGGACGGGAGUAGUUGAGGAGAACAGGGAGUGCCGGCGGAUGACAGGAGCACUGUCAGAAGAUAGAGGUAGCGCGCCAUUGGAUGAUAGUGAUGGAGCAUCUGUGGAGGAUGGGAGCACCUGCGGAGAACAGGGAACGUCUGCAGAGAAUGGGAGCACCGUCAGACGAUAGAGGUAGCGCGUCAGUGGAGUUUAGAGAUAGCGCGCUUCCAGAAGAUAGAGGUGGAGCACCUGCUGAGGGCGGCAAGCACCUGUAGAGGACGGGAGCACCUGCGGAGAAUAGGGAGCGCCUGCCGAGGACAGAGCACCGUCAGAAGAUAGAGGUAGCGCGCCAGCAGAGGAUAAGAGGUAGCACCCUGGCGGAGGUUACAGGUUGUGUGCCAUUGGAGGAUAGAUGUGGAGCACCAGCAGAGGACAGCGAGCGCCUGCAGAGGACGGGAGCAUCUGCAGAGAACAGGGAGCGCCUGCGGCGGACGGGAGCGCCAUCGGAGUAUAGAUGCAGCGCGCCGGCGGAGAUUAGAGGAAGCACACCUGCGGAGGUUACUAGCGCGCUGUCAGAGGAUAGAAGUGGAGUGCCAUUGGAGGACAGCGAGCACCUGCGGAGGACAGGAGCGCCAGCAGAAGAUAGAGGAAGUGCCACAUGCGCUUUCCCUCAUCCUAAUUUCUUUCUAUUAUUUUUUUC
ensembl:lncRNA